rnacentral:lncRNA from 1 species
CAGUUUGCCUCCAACUUCGACGAGGAAAAACAUUUAAAAAAAAGAAUCAGAGAACACGAGAUAAAUAUUAUAUUAAUUGUUCCCCUUCAGCCAUUUCCAUGCUUCACUCCACUAACCCUAAAUCAAAGCUUUAAUGAAGAUGGGAAACAAGCAUUACCCAUUAACAUUUCUUCCCUCUACAUGAAUUCUUCUCAUUUCUAUCAAAAGAAACUGGCUUUGAAAGGAAAAUAUUUGAAAGAGUUUAAGAAGAUGACUCCAGUUUCAUCUCUGGAAGCCUCAAAAUUUCUGUUUGUGGAUUAAUAAAAUAAAACUCAAAUCAAGAUCAUCCAUGGCUAGUCAAAACUCAGAAACUCUUUUCUUGUGUUUCCCUCGUCACCUUUUUCAGUGGCAAUGCAAAGGCUGUACAAUCACAAAAAGACUAAAGCUAGUAUUCACAUGUCCACUGUAUACCAUUUGUUAUAACAAACCUAUGUCAGAUUCUGCUGUCAUACACAAAACCCUAGAGACCUAGCUAUGGCUUGGAAACCUGAGACAGACUUGACUUGGACCGUUGGAUCCCAUUUUCUAGCGUUUCUGAUUACAGUUGAAGAAG